UAACGGGAAAAGCAUGAUAUAGAUUAAUUCUAUACAUCUUUUUAUUUAAGUUACCAUUUUAUUUAUUUAUUUUGAAUAAUGUAUUUAUUUUUGCUUUGUUAUAUAUUUGUGCCCUGAGUUUUGCCUAUAUGAUGUCUGUAUGAGGGUGUCAGAUAACCUGAAACAACAAUUACAGACUGUUGUGAGCUGCCAUGUGGGUGCUGAGAAUUGAACCCUGGUCCUUUGGAAGAAUAAUAGCCAGUGUUCUUAACUACUGAGCCAUGUCUCCAGCCCCCAAGUUACCAUUUUAUGAAUACAUUAAUUAUGCAUAUUAAUGAGAUUCAGUGUGCUUUUAUUCAUGCACAUACAGCCCGGGCAGCUCAAAUCUAACUGCCCCCUUCCCAUCUUUCCCCCAUACACUUCCCAACCUCUAGGAACUGUGCAUCCACUUUCAAGUCAGCUUCCUUAGUGUCCGCCUCAGAUUUUACAGAUUUCUAAAGAGUUAUUUCAUGUGUAUGAGUGUUUUGCCUGCGUGUAUAUAUGUGUUCCACAUGUGUUCACGGUGUACAGGGAUGUCAGAGAGGACAUCAGAUCUCCUGGAACUAGAGUUACAAAUGGUUGUGAGCCAUCAUGUGAGGGCCUGGGUCUUCUGUAAGAACAGUAAAGUACCUUUAACCACUGAGCCAUCUCUCCAAGACUCCACCUUGUAUUUUGUGACAGAGCCUAUCACUGAACCUGAAGCUCACUGAUUUGAUUAGCUUACUGACCAAAAAGCCACAGAGAUCCUCCUGUCUCUGUGACCCCUGUUCCAGAAGGACUGGCAUGUGCAUCUGUGCCUGGCUUUCAUGUCAGCACUGAGGCUCUGAACCCAAGUCCCCAUGCCUGUGUGACAAGCAUUCCUGACUUCUGAGGUCUCUCUCCCGCUGUUUCAUUCUUAUUUGUUGCAGUCGUUUAAUGAUACAUUGUUGCUGCUUGUUGAUGAGCACCUCAGCUAAUUCCAUCGGUUAGCUAUUGAGAAUUCCAUAAUGCAUAUGAAUGUUCAGGUAUCUCUUUUAGAUGCCGAUUUGUAUUCAUUUUAGAGGCGGAGCAGGAGGUGACUAGAUGGAAAACUUACUUUUGGUGUUUUGGGGGAAUAAUAGAAUUUUUAAGAAUUUGUUUAAGAAAAACUCAUACUGUUCUCCAUAACAACUGUAUGGUUUGUGCCCCAAUAGCAGUGUGUAAGAGUGUCUUUUCUCUGUAUCCUCCUCAGUGUUUAAACAGGAACAGCCAUUUUACUUGGAAUGGGAUAUUGCUGUAGUUUUAUUUACAUUUCUCUGAUGUCUAGGAGACUGAAAAUUUUUUAACCUAUUUCUUGGCCAUUUGUGGGGUUGUUUGUUUGUUUGUUUGGUUGGUUGGUUGGUUGGUUUUCGAAGAGUGUCUCUUCAGAUCAUUUGCUCCUUUUAAACUUGGGUUACUUGUGGUCAUUAUUAAGUAAUCCUCAUGUAUUCUAGCUGUUAGCUCUGUCACAUGGCUAGCUGGCAAAUGCCCUGCAUUCUAUACAUUGUCUCCUUGCUUGGUUGAUUAUUCUCUCUCUACUCAGUUUAGUAAAAUCCUAUUUUUCUAUU
rnacentral:lncRNA from 1 species